rnacentral:rRNA from 1 species
CCUGAACUCAGACCGGAA